rnacentral:lncRNA from 1 species
GUGACAAUAUUUUCUGUCACAAGAACUGUUUGUGUGUCACAAAUUAUUUUAGUAAUUUUUUUAAAAAAACAUUCCAUGUUGAGAAGCUCUUUUGCCAUGUCAACUCAUGUUUUUCCUUUUUUUGUAUUUCAUUUUUUAUUAUAUCAGAUCAUAUUUUUUUGUCUUGUAGUUGGGCCACCUAUUGCACUUGAUAUAGGCCGUGAAUGGGUGAAAUUUGGUGUGGCUAGCCCAAGAAUUAUGUUUCUGGUCGAGCCCACUAGGCCCAUAUGGGGUCUGCUGCGCAUAUAGCCUUUGCUGAGAAAAGUGACAAAAUUUGUAAAAAGAACGAAACCACAUUUGUUCCAUGAUGCAUUUUAUUUGUAUAUAUGAUCUUUAUACCACGU